UACGUAGGGGGCAAGCGUUAUCCGGAUUUACUGGGUGUAAAGGGAGCGUAGACGGCAGUGCAAGUCUGAAGUGAAAGGCAAGGGCUCAACCCUUGGACUGCUUUGGAAGCUGUGCUGCUGGAGUGUCGGAGAGGCAAGUGGAAUUCCUAGUGUAGCGGUGAAAUGCGUAGAUAUUAGGAGGAACACCAGUGGCGAAGGCGGCUUGCUGGACGAUGACUGACGUUGAGGCUCGAAAGCGUGGGGAGCAAACAGG
rnacentral:rRNA from 1 species